GCAUCCAUGGUGGAAAGGGCUAUACACUACAGGCUUAAAACCUGUCGCCGAAAGGAUUGGGGGUUCGAAUCCCUCUGGAUGCA
rfam:Cellulophaga phage phi38:1, complete genome.